CAUUUCAGAUCUUAAAUUGGUUAAUGAGGCUGAAAUAUGCUUUAUUUCAGAGAAGCCGCAGUGCUCUGCACGAGGACCAGAAUUUAUGCCGGCGUUCGAGUCAAGUGCAAAUACCACCAUCGCUCCUUCAUUACCGCCGUAACUGGUGAGAUCUGUUCUGCUCGGUAGAACUGGCACCAAAUGUCAGGUUCCUAAAUGAAGGAGCUCCUGUCUCUCUAGGAGAAACCUGCUGAUUGGCUAAAAGUACUUCAACCUUUAUUUAAUUCAUGCCUUAUAAGUGCUCCUUGGCGGAAGCUCUUGGGAGCUGAUCUUAUGUCACACUUACUGAAACUCAUUUAAUUAUUUGCAGCUGAGGAGGGCAGGAGGAUGGUUAUCACACAGUGAAAAGCUCAUCUGCUUCUUCUUCAGAUUAAACCCCAAACCAGGGAUGUCAGUUAGGAUUCCUGUUUUUACUUCAGCCUUACGACCCUUUCCUUGGGGCUGCUUUUUAGGGGGCUAGUUUCUUCCAGAGCUUUAAAAAGAUUUUGUUCAUUCUCAUGCUCUGUAUGAAGGGGUACAGAAAGACAAGAAAACACAAAUUCUGCUCUAAUGUGCAGAACAUGGACUGGUUUGAAGGAAAGCAACAGAAUAUGGGAUCCAGCCUAAGGCUGAAGACAGAGAAUCAGUGACUUGUAUAGCUUUAAAAAUCAGCUUUAUGACUAUCAUUAAGUGAAAGCAUCUCUCCUCAUGGGGGACUUCUGCUUCACCCAGAGGUGUAUAUCCCUUAGCUCAACUAUUCACAUCCAAAGCAUUGUCAUAAAACUUCUUAUUUGAAAUAAGAAAAUCAGAAAGAAACACUUCUAAAUGAGGAUGUUGUGUACUGGUGGGUUUUAGAUCAAAAUGGUUAAAUUGAUGAUAAAUUCAUACAUAUAUGGCUUUCUUUUAAUAAAUUCCAACCCAAGCAACAUAUAAAAUAUAUACGAUAUAAAUAUUUCCUUUGAAAACCUCUCUAUGCUUCAUGAUUACAUAGCUUAAGAAGUUUAGAAGCCUUGGGCAAGCAACUGAAACUACAAGGGGAAUGCUUAAGAAUUGUUUGUAUGCUUGAUUUGUUUUACAGUGCAUUUGGUCUUUAGUUUUGAUUGGAUUGUCUUACUGAAACAUGAAGGGCAUUUAAAAGUAAGAAAGUGAAUAGGAUACAUUUGCAACUAUAUGCCCAAAAGCAAGAUCUUAAUGUCAGGAGUAAAUUAUAACAACUAACAUUGCUGAUGACAUACAUUAUAAUUCAAAGCCUGGAAAACCACAUCAAGGUUGUUCUUACCAUGAUCUGACAAAAAUGUCUUUAAAGUCUUGUGGUUUUUAGGUCUACAGUAACCAGACUUUAUUUAUGCUAGGAAUUUCAUAAAUAAAAGGCAAGCUUUACCAAAGGUAAGACUUUUUUUCAUUUUAAAUGCUGCCGAAUCUUUUUGGAACUUCAGCUUUUUAUACCAAUAAUGGUAAAAGUGGGAUAAUCCCAGCAGGUCAGGCACAUGCCAGCCAUCAUCCACUAUGGCAUGUUGGGUGACACUGGGGAGCUUCCUAAUGCUGAAUGUGGGAAAGGAUUCAGGCAGUCUAGUCUCAACUCACUGCCUAUCUCUGAGAGCUUCCCAGGUCCAAUGUGAGAUGUGCAAAUGCAUGAAGUUAUGCCUGUGAACAGCCAAGCAGCCUGUGAGACUUCACAUCCUGUGCAUCCCAUGGGAUUUUCCAACUUGGCACCACCUGUGGGGACUUGAGCUUGUGGGAGUACCCAUGACAAGGCUCAGACUCCGAUCAUCAUGCUGAUGAAGGAGAGCCAGGUUUAAUGGCAAGGUGAAUGACAACGAAGGGGCCACUCAUCAUUCCUGUGCUUCAUGAGGUCAGUGCAAGUGAUUUUAAGGACAUCUGGAGGUUCACAGCUCAUCUUGGUAUAUAUAGCUGUCCAAGAUGCAGAGAAAUAUUCAUGGGGUUCAAGCACUGAGCUUUUCUCAGUUCUCCAACCUUUGCGUAACUGGCACUGCUGGGAGAAGGAGCAUGCAACCCGUAACAUGGAUACCAUCACCUGCUCUCCUAUGAGAUGGAGCUGACUGCAGUGCAUCCUAUCCAGGACUCCCAGAAGCAAUUGCUAACAGGAAGGAAAUGCCGUUUGGUAAUGUACUGCUAUAUGACAGUUCACGUAAACACAGGUAAAUUAGACAAUGACAUUAAUAACCUUGAUUAUUAUUGAUGUAAUUAGAAAAAGAAUUAGGAUUUGCUGGUAAAAUCUUCUUCGUUAGUAUUGACUCCAUCAGGGAAAUAAGAGCAGACAAAUAUUUCAAUAUAUUAUUAAGCAGCUGAGCAACUCCCAAACCACAGUUAUCUUAAUGAUGUGACAAGCAUCAACUAUCCUAUCAAGCAGGUUCCCAUAAAUCAAAGAAGUAACCUAUGUGACAAGUUUGUGAUUAGGAAAAAACUAACAUAUUCAAACUCCAUUGUGCAGACAUGACCCGGAUCCAAAAUAUAUAGUGCUCCCUCUUUAGUAGCGAGCCAACUUGGAUCCCAGUGCUAUUCAGCUCACCUGUCAAAGGUGUGAAGGCUUCUGAAUCCCAGGAUUCCAAAAAUCCUUUGUAACAAACAUUGAAAAUGCAUCAUCUCCACACCAAACAGCCUGGUUAUCUUAGAAAACCAAUUGUUCUAACCUAGUUACAAUAGGUUGAUAUCUGAGGAAAUAAUGGUUAUUUCCCUCUUCCUCAUGCUUGAAAUUACUGCUGUAUUUCAUAAAGACCGAAUGCAAAACCAAAGGCAACUAUAGAUACUUAAGUACUACCACUACAAAUCUGAUGGCGUUUAUGAUCAUCAGUGAAUGGGGAGGAAGUAAAAUGCUGCUCUAAAAUGCCAAUGUUUGGGUUUUUUUGUUUUUCUUUUUGUUUUGUUUUGUUUUGUUUUUUGAAGAAACAAAACUUUUAUUUGCACAUCGUGUUAAAUGCAGUGUAAAUUUCUACUUGUUCUGUGUGAGCAGAAAGUCCGAUCUAAGGAAACUAAUCUGGGCACCUUACUGUGGGAGAACCUGCAGUGUGAACUCAACUGAACUAUUAGGCACUAAAGGAACACAUGGGAGGGAGCCGCAGGGAACGGAGCUUGAGCAAGGCAUGAAGAAACCAGUUCAAACCGUGCAUUUGGCAAAGCAGCCAGCACCUCCUAGGACGGCGUGGAGGAUGCCCUGGAGCAAGAAGAUGCUCAGCCAGAUGUCAGCUUAGCAACUCUCAGCAAAGCAUGACCACGAGGAGCAGCACUUUGCAAAUCUUCUGCAAGUCCUUCACACAGGCAUACAAAUAAGGCAGAAGCAUUCAGCGCUGGGGCUGAUAAGCAGCAUAUGCCAAUAAAGAAUUUACAAAGCCAUUUUGGCUACCCGUGUCUCACCCAUACUUUAAUUAUGUGAAAACAUAGAUAUGCUUGUCCUAAUGUACUAGAAUGAUAUGCAAUUAAUCUGACAUGGAAAAGGCAUCUGUCUGUAAAUCUCAUCUCUGUUAUCUCAUCACUGCUUGUUUGUUUAUGAGGCUGAGGCAUGCACUGUAUGUUCACAAGAUGUUCAAUCACAUUGGCACCAGGAGGAAGAGUGAAGGCAGAUAAAGAGCAGGAACCUCUUUCACAAACUGAAUUGCUCCUACCCAGCCCAUGGUUAAAAAAUAAAGAAAAAAAUGCCCCGUACUCUGUGUCUUGAUAUCCUUGUAUGUAUCAGUACUAAAGUACAAUUUAGUUACCUUAAGAAAGUCUUAGACCUGAUUUAUCUAUGAGACACACUUCACAACACAAACCAAUUUUGCUGUAGUAAUACCAUGUCAAUAUUUCCUGACAGAAGACAAAUGUUGUUAUUAUUUUGCCACUUCUUACCUUUGUAGAAGUUUAGAAUUUUACAAAAUGACUCUUCUUUACAUGUCAAAAUGGUAAGUUGUUGGAAAGGGGAAAAAAAUUGAAGUCACUCAUAUCUAUUGACAGGGAUGGAUUCUGCAGCAGGGUUAAAAAUGAUUUGGACACAAUAUUGACAUUUAAAAAUAUUAAAAGGAAACCCUAUUUUUAAUAGAUACCUAUAUAAAUGGGAGGAUAAAACAGAAAAAAAAAAUAACAGAACUAUUUUUUGAUGUAUCCUGUGGUAUGAAAAAUGAUUUAUCUGUAGCUCUCUGUUGGAGCUCUUUGUGCAAAUACGCGUGGACAGACAUUCCUCUCCACAGUGGUGAUCUGAAAAAUCAGCCUUUCUUCUGCGUUCACCUUCUUCUUUCCCCUCCACUGCAUUAUGAGAGACAUAACGCAUGAUCUCUACUUUCUAUUCACUUUAAUAUUUUAAAACUGAUGCAAACUGCCCCUGCACGCUACGUUUGCUCAGAAUAAAAUGCCUCAAGAAGCACAGCUAACAGUUUCAUCUUUAGGCAGGUUAAAGGAAGGGAAAAAGCACGGGGACUCAUAGAGAGAAAACCAGAUGACUGUAUUCACCUCAUUAGCAACUAGACAAUUGGGACUUUACUUUAGAAUACUACAUGGUCAGUUUGGGCCUUUACAGAAUGAAUCCAUCCAAUUACUUUUUAAUCUAGACAGUUUACAAAAAUAUGCAUUCCAACAUUAUAGAUGAGCUAGCAGCAGUUUGUAGAUUUCUUAUGGAACGUCCCACACUAGAGUUUGGUAUUUAAGCCUCAAGGGUGCUAAGCUGAGCUAUCAGUGAGUGGAGUGAAGGAAUGUGGCUUCAGAGAUGCUGAAUAACAGAGACAAAUAGCGGCCGUACAGCAUCUGUUUUUGACUGAAUUAUGCAGAAGAGCUUCAAAAAUCUUUUGGCUUAUGAAACAGAAAGACCUCAAAGGUCGUUAUCAAAUUUAAACAAAGCCACAUUAUUUAUGCAAACAUUCACACACUUUUUUCUUUAGCAAUCAACUGGCUCAGUUUUAGCUACCAAAAAAUAAAUAAAUAAAUAAAAAAAAUUAAAGACCAGAAGAAUGCUGGGUAUUUUAUUUCAAACUGAAGACCACAGAGCAGAAGUCUGAACAUUUUCACUUAUCUAAGAACCAGCUGCACUGAAAUGGGCUUUAUUUAUAUUGCAACAGCAAUACUUGCGUUAAACUGAUAUGAAGGAAGAAUUAGGUCAUAUGUUUAAGUUCAUUUUCAUGCUGAUUAUUUUGUUAUGUUUCCCUAAUUCCAAGCUGUUCAAAUAACUGUGUGUUGUUAUUUCACACUGCAGCGGUUGUACACACGAUCUA